GACAUUCGGAUCUGGCUAAAAGGUCCAUGAGAUUCUCACAGGCAUGGGAAGCCAUGACACGGUGGCAAAAAACAAUCUAAAUGAAAGAUCCUAGUGAACAAGACCCCAGUAGAAGGAACAGGCCAUCAAGGAGGGAGGCGCCUUUCUCUGAAGGGAGGAAGGAACCUCCACUGUGAUACGGCCUUGACUAAACAAGUUCAGAGCUGAUGAACUCAAGGGGCUUCCAUAGCCUAGACAGCUCAUAACAAGAGUCUCGGGUGAUUGCUGAUGUCAUAAAUAAGAGUGCCAAUUGUUAAAUCAACAACAGGAGUCACUGAGUACAGGCUCCCCACGUAGGAUCUCUGUCCUUAAUAUGUUUUAUUAUGAAACUUAUAAACAACACUACUAGUCGAACAAUACCCUAUACCUUGUGUGAUUGUGUGAGUGCAGCCUGUUGAAAUCCUUGCUUAGUGUAUACUAAGUUGAUCUUCUGUAUAUGAAGAUUCACCGCUUGCUACUCUGCAAUGAGGGUGGGAACAGUCUUUCUCUUGCUGACAUUAUCGGUGACAUACUGCUCAGGAGUGGCGCAUGUUACAGGAUGUGGCAGGUUAAGGGACUCCAGUCUUACGGGAACAACAGGAAAUGUUUGGAGUCAACAGGAGCAGAGUUGGAUUCCCAUCUUCACUGCUAGUUAGUUACGCACAUUACCAUAGCUUAUUCUUAAAUUUUUACUUGGGGAAUGGUAAUAAUAAUAUCUCUUUCCCUGG